GAUGAACGCUGGCGGCGUGCUUAACACAUGCAAGUCGAGCGAACAGACGAGGAGCUUGCUCGUCUGUCGUUAGCGGCGGACGUGAGAGAAACACGUGUAUCCCCCACUUAUAAGUCUGGGAUCACCACGGGAAACCGGAGCUAAUACGGGAUAACAUGUUGAACCGCAUGGUUCAACAGAAAAAUUCGGCCUUGCUGUCUCUUCUAGAUGGUUCCGGGCUGCAUUAGCUAGUUGGUAAGGUCACGGCCUACCAAGGCGACGAUGCGUAGCCGACCUGAGAGGGGGAUCGGCGACACUGGAACUGAGACACGGUCCAGACUCCUACGGGAGGCAGCAGUAGGGAAUGGGAGGCAAUGGGGGAGAGCAUGACAGAGCAAGGCCGCGUGAGUGAAGAAGGUCUUCGGAGCGUAAAACUCUGUUAUUAGGGAAGAACAGAUGUGUAAGUAGAUAUGGAGGUAUUGACGGUACCGGAUCAAGAAGCAACGGCUAACUACGUG
rnacentral:rRNA from 1 species